UCUUCUAUGAUCAGGCUGGUAUUCUAAGGCCAAUAGUUAUUGAGCUUUCACUUCCCCCAUCACCCUCUUCACCUUGCAACAAACAUGUUUACAUUCAUGGGCCUGAUGCCACGACACAUUGGAUCUGGAAACUAGCCAAAGCUCAUGUCUGCUCAAAUGAUGCUGGUGUUCAUCAACUAGUAAAUCACUGGUAAAAGAAAAGAUUGUACUCAAUGAAAUUUAAAAAAGCAAGGCAUGCACGUUUCUAACCUGUGGGUGUUUUUGAAUUCUCAGGUUGAGGACUCAUGCCUGCAUGGAGACUUAUCUAAUUGCAACUCACAGGCAGCUUAGUGCAAUGCACCCCAUUUACAAGUUGCUCCAUCCCCAUACACGUUAUACACUAGAAAUUAAUGCACUUGCACGGCAGAGCUUAAUAAAUGGAGGAGGAAUAAUUGAGGCCUGUUUCAGUCCUGGAAAGUAUGCCAUGGAGGUUAGCUCUGCAGCCUACAAGAAUAUGUGGCGGUUUGACAUGGAGGCAUUGCCAGCAGAUCUUGUUCGCAGGUAGAACUGGAGUGCAUUUUAAUCUCUUACUCUUUGUUUAUUUUUCAAGCUUUUAGAUACUUCCUGGUGAUCUGACCUGUCUGAAGCAGCGGCUAUUGCAGGACUGGACUGUUAGUUGGGUCCAUUCCUGACCUCCCACUUUUUUCAUGCUUUUAAUGCUUAACUGUUUCUAAACAUCACUUGCUGUAUUCUUGUUGCCAGCCUUCUUGUAGAACAAAUGAAAAAAAAAAAAAAUCAUAAUUGUGAUGAAAUUUUCAGGGGAAUGGCAGUGGAGGAUCCUUCGAUGCCUUGUGGAGUGAGGCUUGUGAUAGAAGACUACCCUUAUGCUUCAGACGGACUCCUCAUUUGGUCAGCCAUAAAAGAAUAUGUAGAAUCUUAUGUUGAUCACUUCUACUCUGAGCCUAACUCUGUCACAUCUGAUAUUGAGCUCCAAGCCUGGUGGAAUGAGAUAAAAAACAAGGGUCAUUUUGACAAGAGGAGCGAACCAUGGUGGCCUAAACUCGAUACCAAAGAAGAUGUAUCUGGCAUACUUACUACAAUGAUCUGGAUUGCAUCAGGGCAGCAUGCUGCUAUAAACUUUGGGCAGUACCCCUUUGGAGGGUAUGUGCCUAGUCGUCCUACCCUCAUGAGAAAACUCAUCCCGCUAGAAAAUGAACAUGAUCAUGAAAAGUUCAUCCGAAACCCUCAGCAUACUUUCCUGUCAUCUUUGCCAACUCAACUUCAAGCCACCAAAAUAAUGGCUGCUCAGGACACUCUGUCGACUCACUCCCCAGAUGAAGAGUACUUGGGUCAGGUAAGCCACCUGCACAGCCAUUGGAUCAAUGAUCACGAAAUAGUAGAAUUGUUCAAUAGAUUUUCUGCUCGAUUAGAGGAGAUUGAAGGAAUAAUAAACUUGAGAAAUAAGGAUGCCCGCCUUAAAAACAGAAGCGGUGCAGGUGUUCCACCAUAUGAACUGCUCGUUCCCACUUCAGGCCCUGGAGUAACAGGUCGAGGAAUCCCCAAUAGCAUUUCUAUCUAAAAGGUUAGCCUGGUUUAAAAUCAUUGUAAGUGUCAGAUAUUGCUGCCUUUGCCUAGCAUAUACCACUUUCUUUCUCAAAGAGCUUGUUCACCUAGCAUCUGCAAUAAAAUGUGAAGCAUAGAAGCAAUUUCUAUGGUAUUCAUAUUUAGACUAAGCACCUAGAGCUUUAUGAAUACAGUAUAUGACGUAGAAAAAACAAAUCAGAAAGAUCUAAAGUUUGAAUACCAGUGUGUUUGUGUGGUGUAAAUUAUUUUUGAUGUGCUUUGAUCGAUUAAAAAUGGAAGUUCUUUGCAUACUCGGGCCUUGGUAAUGGUAGGAAUACACAAUUAUCUGUACUAAAGGAUUUCAUCAGGGUUCUUUGCAGAGGCGGAGCAAGAAGAAAAAAGUAAGGGGGGCAAAUUAAAAGAAAUAUUUUAAAAAAAAUUAAAAUUUUAAAUAUUUUACAAAGGGAGAGGCUGGGAAAAAUUUCCUCGCAGGGCCCCUGCCAACCUCCCCUGCCUCCGCCACUGGUUCUUUGUAUGUAGAUUUAGAGGCAAUUGGAGUGUUCUAGAUUUUGUGCUGCUAGCACAAUGAUGCUUGAUUUACGCCCGUUUUAUCAUGUGUACUUCAAAAGUUUAGAGCAGUGGCAAAAUCUGAACUUGUAGAAUCUAGGACCAGGUCUUUUUUUCAAGAUUGCCAAGAAAAGGGUAUCCUUUCCCCUUCAUGCAGUCGAGAGAAGCCUUCUCCUUGUCUUUGAUAGCAUUGCUAUCUCUAAUCUCGAAAUCUUCAAGCAACUAGUUUAGGGUUAGGCGCUAGGCAGUGUGCAUUGUUUUCUCGGCUCCAUAACAGGAAGAUGGGAAGUUAGCCUUUCUUCUUUCUUUGCCAAAGCAGAUCCCACCGCUAUCAUGCAUGAUUCUCCCAAAAGAUUGCAGAGCUUCUUUGAUCAAUCUGUCUGGGGGUUUUAGUCUGUCAAUCUGUAACCCAGUAUUCACAGUACAUAGCCACCCCUCUGGUCGCCUAUUUUGUUCUCUUGGUCAAGAUACUGGACCAUCUUGAUUCAAACGCAUGCCUGAGUUGUCUUAGAGAUCUUGGCAUAUUGAAAUGCGAGUGGCCCAGAGUACUGAACCACAUACGAAUCUUCUAAAAAAAAUUCAAAUUUAUAAUCUUCCAGUUGCAUUCCUGGGUAAUGAUUCAAUGAUCACUCGUUGUAAUCUCCUGUAUGGUGCCACUUACAGCAUAAUUAUUUGAACGAUCAGAAAGAUAAUUAUGAAACAUGGUUUUAAUUUAUCUGGUAUCAUCAUCGUGGAUUAGAAGUUAGAGAGAACCUGUCUGGCAAUAAAAUCCUUGAUUUUUUAUUCUUCUUUAAUGCUUCCUUUCUGUCUUGCCGCGAAGGCCACGGACACUUGACCUGCUUCCUCAUCAGGAUAUUGCUUACGGAAUUGCAGCAGUUGCUUCGUCAUCACCAACGUAACCUGUGCUAAAAUGACACCAAUUAAUGCCAACAAGGUGAAACAACAUCAUCAGACUAGGCCUGAUCUCUCAUAAUUUCAUCCACCGCCAUGACAGGCUAACUUAACACAGCUUUGUAUAUCUAAUACACUAAAACAAAUCCCAUGGGGAAUACGAAUGAUUAGUUGAUUACCUUUCGUCAUUGUCUCUCCUCUAACCCAAAGCUCCCCGGGCCUGCAAGGAGUCUGGAUCAACAAUCUUUGCUUGGCAAUUGAUAUAAUCUUUCCUGUUUCUCCAACAACUUCACUUUCUAAGACCUACUGUUCC
rnacentral:lncRNA from 1 species